UACGGAGGGUGCAAGCGUUCCUCGGAAUCACUGGGCGUAAAGGAUGCGUAGGCUGGAAAUCAAGUCGAGAGUGAAAUCCAACGGCUCAACCGUUGAACUGCUCUCGAAACUGGUUACCUAGAAUAUGGGAGAGGUAGAUGGAAUUAGUGGUGUAGGGGUAAAAUCCGGAGCUAUCACUAGGAAUACCGAUUGCGAAGGCGAUCUACUGGAACAUUAUUUACGCGGAGGCAUGAACGCGAGGGGAGCAAACAGGAUUCGAUACCCGCGGAGUCC
rnacentral:rRNA from 1 species